CUUCUGAUGGCGACCGGCGCACGGGUGCGUAACGCGUAUGCAACCUACCUGUAACAGGGGGAUAACACUGAGAAAUCGGUACUAAUACCGCAUAACACUAUGAGAGGCAUCUCUUGUGGUUGAAAGUUUCGGCGGUUACAGAUGGGCGUGCGUUGUAUUAGCUGGUUGGUAAGGUAACGGCUUACCAAGGCGACGAUACAUAGGGGGACUGAGAGGUUAACCCCCCACAUUGGUACUGAGACACGGACCAAACUCCUACGGGAGGCAGCAGUGAGGAAUAUUGGUCAAUGGACGGAAGUCUGAACCAGCCAUGCCGCGUGCAGGAAGACGGCUCUAUGAGUUGUAAACUGCUUUUGUACAAGGGUAAACCUGAAUACGUGUAUUCAGCUGAAAGUACUGUACGAAUAAGGAUCGGCUAACUCCGUGCCAGCAGCCGCGGUAAUACGGAGGAUCCAAGCGUUAUCCGGAUUUAUUGGGUUUAAAGGGUGCGUAGGCGGAUUGAUAAGUUAGAGGUGAAAUGUCCGAGCUUAACUCGGGAACUGCCUCUAAUACUGUUGAUCUAGAGAGUAGAUGCGGUAGGCGGAAUGUAUGGUGUAGCGGUGAAAUGCUUAGAGAUCAUACAGAACACCGAUUGCGAAGGCAGCUUACCAAUCUAUAUCUGACGUUGAGGCACGAAAGCGUGGGGAGC
rnacentral:rRNA from 1 species